rnacentral:rRNA from 1 species
UACGGAGGAUGCAAGCGUUAUCCGGAAUGAUUGGGCGUAAAGGGUCCGCAGGUGGCAGUGUAAGUCUGCUGUCAAAGAAUGAGGCUUAACCUCAUCAAGGCAGUGGAAACUACACAGCUAGAGUACGGUCGGGGUAGAAGGAAUUCCUGGUGUAGCGGUGAAAUGCGUAGAGAUCAGGAAGAACACCGGUGGCGAAGGCAGCUCGCUGGGACGUUACUGACGCUGAGACGCGAAAGCGUGGGGAGCAAACAGG